rnacentral:rRNA from 1 species
UACGUAGGGUGCGAGCGUUGUCCGGAGUUAUUGGGCGUAAAGAGCUUGUAGGCGGUUUGUCGCGUCUGCUGUGAAAAUCCGGGGCUCAACCCCGGACUUGCAGUGGGUACGGGCAGACUAGAGUGUGGUAGGGGAGACUGGAAUUCCUGGUGUAGCGGUGGAAUGCGCAGAUAUCAGGAGGAACACCGAUGGCGAAGGCAGGUCUCUGGGCCACUACUGACGCUGAGAAGCGAAAGCAUGGGGAGCGAACAGG